rnacentral:rRNA from 5 species
GUGACCUCGGAUCAGGUAGG